rnacentral:rRNA from 1 species
AUACAGAGGGUGCGAGCGUUAAUCGGAAUUACUGGGCGUAAAGCGCGCGUAGGCGGUCUAUUAAGUCAGAUGUGAAAUCCCAGGGCUCAACCUUGGAACUGCAUCGGAUACUGGUAGACUAGAGUUUUGGAGAGGGAAGUAGAAUUUCAGGUGUAGCGGUGAAAUGCAUAGAGAUCUGAAGGAAUAACAGUGGCGAAGGCGACUUCCUGGCCAAAAACUGACGCUGAGGUGCGAAAGCGUGGGUAGCAAACGGGAUUAGAAACCCCAGUAGUCC